rnacentral:lncRNA from 1 species
AGUAGAGAGAGAGAGAGUGAGUCAUGAAGAGAGAGAAAGAAGCUCAAGGAGAAAGAGAGACAGCAGGAGGGAAUAGACCAGACUGAUGGCGAGGCGAGUUUGGUACAUGUGGCGUGCGGUACGACAGACAGGCCCAUAACCAGAAGGUUGGAGAGAGAGAACACAUAAUGGUACUAGUAGAGAAGAAGGAGAACCACGAUGUUGGCUAGGUAUGGUUCCACGCAUCCACACCUUUCUCCAGCACUAUUCUGACAGUUUGGAGCCAGAUCUACAUGCGCGGCUUAUUCUGUGAUGAUUUCUAGCCAAAACAUGUUGGUGCGUGGGUGGUUUUAGUAGCACAUGCUAGUUCCAACAGUCGACCAUAAGGUGGCAUGCGAUGCUCUAAUGGCAGCGUGUGGUGAACUAGGGACACGUGUAUGGUGGUGUGUGGCAAUU